GUGGGGAAUAUUGGACAAUGGGCGAAAGCCUGAUCCAGCAAUGCCGCGUGAGUGAAGAAGGCCCUAGGGUUGUAAAGCUCUUUUACCCGGGAAGAUAAUGACUGUACCGGGAGAAUAAGCCCCGGCUAACUCCGUGCCAGCAGCCGCGGUAAUACGGAGGGGGCUAGCGUUGUUCGGAAUUACUGGGCGUAAAGCGCACGUAGGCGGCUUUGUAAGUUAGGGGUGAAAGCCCAGGGCUCAACCCUGGAACUGCCUUUAAGACUGCAUCGCUUGAACACGGGAGAGGUGAGUGGAAUUCCGAGUGUAGAGGUGAAAUUCGUAGAUAUUCGGAAGAACACCAGUGGCGAAGGCGACUCACUGGACCGUUGUUGACGCUGAGGUGCGAAAGCGUGGGGAGCAAACAGGAUUAGAAACCCCAGUAGUCC
rnacentral:rRNA from 1 species